rnacentral:rRNA from 1 species
GAAAGUCUAAGGUUUUUGGAGGAAGGUUCGUCCGCUCCAAGUAAGUCGGGAGCUAAGGUCAGGCCGAAAGGCGUAGCCGAUGCACAUACGGUUGAUAUUCCGUAACCAUCUGUAAUUUAAGCAAAGGGACACUUCAAAAGGGUGUGACCCGGGCGUUGGUUGACCCGGGCGUAAGGGACCGAAAUUAGAGUAGGGAAGCACACUUGGCUGAAGGCGAGAAAAGCUUUCGUAUAGAAACAGAUGCCCGUACCGCAAACCGACACAGGUGGACAGGAAGAGAAUUCUAAGGCCAGCGGGAGAAGGGUAGUUAAGGAACUCGGCAAAUUGACUCCGUAACUUCGGAAUAAGGAGUGCUCGAAAGAGCCGCAGAGAAUAGGCCCAGGCGACUGUUUAGCAAAAACACAGGUCUCUGCCAAAUCGAAAGAUGAAGUAUAGGGGCUGACACCUGCCCGGUGCCGGAAGGUUAAGAGGAGGAGUGAGAGCUCCGAAUUGAAGCCCCGGUAAACGGCGGCCGUAACGAUAACGGUCCUAAGGUAGCGAAAUUCCUUGUCGGGUAAGUUCCGACCCGCACGAAUGGUGUAACGAUCUGGGCACUGUCUCAACUACCCACCCGGCGAAAUUGUAGUACCGGUGAAGAUGCCGGUUACCUGCGGCAAGACGGAAAGACCCCAUGGAGCUUUACUGUAGCCUGAUAUUGGGUUUCGGAAAUCUAUGUACAGGAUAGGCGGGAGACUGGGAAACAUGAGCGUCAGCUUGUGUGGAGUCGAUGUUGGGAUACCGCCCUUAGGUUUCUGGAAUUCUAACCUGCGGCCGUGAAUCCGGUCGGGGGACAUUGUCAGGUGGGCAGUUUGACUGGGGCGGUCGCCUCCGAAAAGGUAACGGAGGCGCUCAAAGGUUAGCUCAGCACGGACGGAAACCGUGCCUCUGAGUGUAAACGCAAAAGCUAGCCUAACUGCGAGGGUGACGGCCCGAGCAGUAACGAAAGUUGGAGUUAGUGAUCCGGCGGUAUGUGAAUGGAAAUUCCGUCGCUCAACGGAUAAAAGCUACCCUGGGGUUAACAGGCUGAUCUCCCCCAAGAGUCCACAUCGACGGGGAGGUUUGGCACCUCGAUGUCGGCUCAUCACAUCCUGGGGCUGUAUUCGGUCCCAAGGGUUCGGCUGUUCGCCGAUUAAAGUGGUACGCGAGCUGGGUUCAGAACGUCGCGAGACAGUUCGGUCCCUAUCUGUCGUGGGCGCAGGAUAUUUGAGGAGCUCUGUCCUUAGUACGAGAGGACCGGGAUGGACGUACCUCUGGUGCACCAGUUGUCAUGCCAAUGGCACGGCUGGGCAGCUAUGUACGGAACGGAUAAACGCUGAAAGCAUCUAAGCGUGAAGCCGACUCCAAGAUUAGAUAUCCCAUCGUAUAACGAGUAAGACCCCUUGAAGACUACGAGGUUGAUAGGCUGCGUGUGUAAGUGCUGUGAGGCAUUCAGCUUGGCAGUACUAAUAGGUCGAGGGCUUGAUC